ACGGAUUCAAUUGACCGCUAUUGGUUGAGCUGUCCCUUCUCCUCACCCUAUCUAUGGUAGUGGGAACAUGUUUUCAAAUUUCAACCGUAGGGUGGGGGAUAAAAUGAGUUACAAUACAGUUAGGAGGAGGAGGAGGAGUUGAGGCGCUGGCCAUUUAAUUGAUAAUUAAUGCAUCUUAAUAUAUUAAGCCAUCAUUUCAUAUGAAUAUAUUGACUAUUUCCCUCUAUCUCGUCUGUAAUAAAUUUUCAUAAUUUUCUCCUAAAAAAACUCAUUACUCUUAUUUACUAUUCUUUUUAUUACACAUCCACCACCAAAUCGAACACAGAGAUCAGAAGACGGCCAAAACUGGAACAAAAAAAUAUCGAAAUCCACCACCAAAUCGAACACAAAAGACAUGGAUCCACUGGAGCAGGCCAUAAGACCAAAAUUCCAAAUUCAACCACCGGAAAAUCCGAGAAGAUAGAUGCACAAGCGACAAACAACCUAAAAGAUUCAAACAAAAAAGGAUAAACAAUAAAGAGAAGGAAUCGAAAUGGAGAAAUCAAUACUUCAAGCCCCAAGAUUUCAAGCAAGAAAUCAGAGGAAACAACUGAACCAACAUAAGAAAAACAACCGAACAAAUGUGGGUUAUCCAAAUCAGAUGAAAUAAGAACUAUCCAAAUCAAACAGGUUGGAACGUCGAAGUCUAGUCCAACCAAGAACUAAACUAGCUAUAAAACAAACCAAAUGAAAAUAAAACACCAAAAAUCUAAUAAUAGAAAGAUAACUAAUUUGCACACAAUUUAUCAGAUCUGGAAUAUAUCCAUCAGUCAAACCAUCACCAGGACAAAUCUAAAUUCUCGGACAAGAACCCAAACCUAAUCCCUAGCUCAGACCAUAACCCCCAAAAUCCAGGCCAAGAACGCCAUACAAUCUAUAAACCCUCGGACUUGGCAUAUAAUAGAUCGGAGAGGACAUUUUCGGAGUUGCCCAUUGUAGUCAUCGAUAAGACUAAAUAGAACCAAGCAGAUUGGAAGAGGCUGGACAAGGAAGAAAGAAUUUUCCUACAUGAUUCUGCCUUUUGCUAAGCCUAUCUUCUUCUGCAACUUAUUUCAAGAACAGAAUACGCUCAUAUAAAAUUUCCUUAAAUGAAUAAGAAUAUAAAGACUUGUCUCAUUUUCUAUAUUGUCUUCUCUAAGUGGUGCAAGAUCUGGAUGAUUUCUGAAAAGUCUAGUCUCAAAGAAGGGUCUUGCUGCCAACAUCUCUCGAGCAAUUCCACAAUUUUUGAAUAUGUGCCCCUUGGUAUUGUAGGCCUUAGACUGUAUAAUUCACAACCACGUAAAAAUUAAUAAUAUUUAUUUUAACUCAAAUUAUUAAUUUGGAUACAUGUAAAAACAGAGUUGCAUAUACUGAAUAUAUUUAUAAUUUGGAUACAUGUAAAAAAUAGGAUUUAAGGUUUAGGUUUAAGGUUUAGUGUUUAGGGGAGUCGAAAGAAAAAAAUUGGACCAAAUUUUUACAAAAUUGUGUAAUUUGAAUACAUGUAAAAAACAUGAUUUAGGGUUUAGGAUUUAGAGUCUAAUAUUUUAGGGUUUUAGGAUUUAGGGUUUAGAAUUUAAGAUUUAGAAAGUUUUUUUUUAAAAAGAAAGGGGCCCCGGUCGCCCACGGACUCAAAAAGUAUUAGUCUUUUCUAUACAUGGAAAUCAAAUGCCAAAAGAGAUAGUUUCACUAGCUAGUUUGCAUCAGAUUAAACUGUAGUGUGUAUAUAUUUGAUGAGUAGAGAUAUAUUCAGCUUGCUAUACAAGUAGAACGCACAUAAAGGAGGAGGUGGGGAAGCGGUCUAGUAGAGUAUUUACAAUGAUAAGAACUUCAGUUCUGAUUCACAGAAGCAGUGAAUGCAUGCGAGGCAGAAAUCUUCAUGGGGAUGGGAAGGGGAGGAAUGGAUCCAAUUCCGAACUCUCAGACUCGAGGGUAGAGAUAUUCUUUAGGAGGCGAAACUGCAAGAUCAUCAAAAUAAAUUCCAGCACUAGUUCUAGCAAAGUAGUAGUAGCAGCAUGAUAGCUGGGAAGGGAUCAACUGCUGCACAUCACGAUGACGUUUUCACACUGGGUGUACAACCAGGCUUUGAUCCCGACCCCCGAGCUCAUAAUGGCCUAUGUAAUUAUCCUGGAUCUAUCGCAUCAGUGGCAGUAAGCCAUUUACCCCUGUUCUAUGUUCUUUAACCCAGGUCAUAAUUUAUCAAAUGGCCUUGAAUUUUUCGCACUCCCGUCCAUUAUAUACUUAGACUACGUUACAUUGAACAAUGUAUAGAUUUUGCAAGUAGGCCGGAUACAACACUCUUAACGGACUAGCAUGCAUUUUUGGUUCACGGUAUUUUGGAUUAACAAAUUUAGGAUUUGUUUACCUUCUUGAGCUUGCAGCUAUGCCAAUGCACCUUAUCUCGACACAACUGUCUUUGAGAAAUCAUUUUCAUUCUCUCAUACUAUCUGCCACGAGUCAACUUAUCCGUAACGGUAUAUAACACACGAGGUACUAUGGCUGGUUCCCAUGCUCUAAUAGCCUCUAAAUGCAGUACAGCAAACCUAGAAUGACUUUAAGAUUCUUGGAGUUUUUUAAGAACAUGUUGAANNNN
rnacentral:lncRNA from 1 species